UCCCCCUCCCUUUUUCCCUCUCUCUUUCACGCUUCAAAGCUCAGGUAUGACAGAUUUCUGUAAAAUUUCUGUAAAAUUAUCAGUCUUUCGGUGACUCUGAUUGCUAGGAGUACUUGGAAUGUGGUGAGGAGAGCUCAGUCAAUUGGAAGGAAGGUUCCUAGAAUUUGGAAAAAUGGGUUCAAAUACUCUGGAGAACAAGGUUGGUCCCUCUGCUGUUGUUCCCAUCCUCCAAUUCUCUCUCUCCGGCCACUGGCAUUUUACGUUCUACGGGUUUGAAAGGGCACACAAACCCAACACCCAAAUAGAAACGGAUUCCCUGUUACAUUCAUGUGUAAUUUUUAAUAAUAAAAAAAUUCCCUUCAUCACUUCUUUUAGCAUUAUAUAUUGUGGGAACAAUUGAAGAAAAGAAAGUAAAAUAUAAAAGUGCACUUUAAAUACAGCAGAGAGAAAGUUCUUACAACAAUAGAUUGGAACUUUACAUAAGAAUUCCUUUCUGAACGAAAUUGAAGCAUCUGAUGCGAGUGUUAGAAAUUGGAACGUUAUGCAUGUUGGAUUACUCUCUACAAUUUUCUUAUCUUUUUGAUCAAUCAACAAUUGAUUUAAGGUCCCUAGAUGUCUUUUAUUGACACUUCAAUGGCAUACUCAAAUGAUAAUAUGCUUGCCAUACAUAUUCCAUGCUUACUUCACUUCCUAUCUUGCAGGUGAUCUGCUCAUCCUUAAACAGAAUGAAUUGCACCGGAUCAUGCUUCCAUUUAUGAUUAACUGCUCCUUUCUAGGAAAGUAUACCACAAUCUAGAUUUGGUGGUGAUCUUCAACAUGAUGUCCAGAAAGGGGAUACAGUGAUUAAUGCCACUUGUGGCAAUGGUUACUUUAGCAAUGGUCAUUAUACUUGCUGAUGAAUUAGCCAGGGUUGUGUUUAUGCAAUGGAUAUUCAGAAUGAUGCUUUAGAGAAUACUUCUUCCUUGCUAGAAGAGUUGCUCAAUCCAAACAAGGUCCAGAAGGUACAAAACACAGGAAGUCUUUAGCUAAUACAGCUUUUACAAAAGAUUUGGUCCAACCAAAGAGAAUGUAUGGGGGAUUUGAUGCACGUCUUUGCUUUUGAGAGCUAUAAGCAAAUCAAUCAUGGCGUCAAAUUGAUCAUUUUCCACCACCAAUACCUUCUUAACAUCUUCAGUAAAUCUGACACAGUAAGCUCCACUUUUCUUGCUUUCUAAAGUCUCAAAUCUAAUGUUAGUGAAACUUGAUAACUACAUCCUUCAGAAGCGUCAAAUCGCAACCAUACAAAAGAAUAUCAUGUCAAUGAAUUUUACUUCUAAGAAAUUUCAUUGCUUAUGGUUGCCCAAGAGCGAGAGCACAUAACCACACAGCCUAACUCUUGGAGGAAGGUAUAGCCACUUAUUUCCAAACAAACUUAGAAGUAAGAUUUUACGCGGGGGUGGUUGAAGCAUAGUGGCAGAGUUAUGUCAUGUGCAGUGGAUUACGUCCAAACCUUUUGAGAGGCUAUCUCUUCAUCAACCGUAACUCCUGAAGGUCAAUGCAAUAGACUAUGCUCUACCUCCUAUUUAUGUUUCCAAAAUUAAUUUUGAUGAGCUUACUGAUAAACGGGGAUGCUACUGAGUUAUGGUGUGGUAAUUAUAGAUACUGCAAGUGCAAUCAUUGCUGAUUGGUGUGACCUAAGGGCUAAGGCAUAUGGAUGCAGACAAAGGAUAGCUUCAAUCAAUGGAGCCUUGUUUAUCUUUUGUUAGCCAUCUGGUGGAUGACUUAAAAAACAAAGUUGCAAAAGUUAAGUGUUCAGUUAGAUGGUCACCUAAGUGUUGCAAUAGGGAUGUGCUCAAAUGUUAGCUUUAGAUGCAAACAAAUGCCACACAAGUAGGAUUUGGCUGGAGGAUACUCCUCCAUGUUUCCAAAAUUAAUAGUGAAUUGCU